AGAAUAUUAUUCCAAAUUCAUAAUUCGGCAAUUCAUGGCAAGCUUGCAAAACAUAUUUUGAUUUAUGAUUAAUCAUAAUAAUUAGGUAUGAAUGAAUGACCUUGAUCAAUUGAUAUGACAUAAUUCUUCUAUCCAAAACUGAGCAUUACUGGUCAACCAAUUUGAGAAUGACAUAAGAUUUGAAUGUCAGGCAGUUGUUCUACUAUGUCCAAAGUUGACAUGAGUUCAGUAGGUCAGCAGGCUAACAGAUAAGUAUACACAUAGAGUUCAUGUGUCAGAGCUGACAUGUUUUUACAUGCUUUAAAGUUAAAAUCACAGAUAAUCCAUAACUUAGCUAUUUAUUUGAUAUUGUUGUUUAAUUAUUUAGAGUUAGUUUAAGUGAAGUCUUAGUCAUACUAAUAUGUAUUAGUAUAUAGUUACUUAAUGAAGUUAUAGCUUUAUAGCUGAUAAUAUAUGUUCUAUGACAUUGCAUCAUCAAGCACACUACUCUAAGUAUAGAGUGUCACAUGUGUGCCUGUCAAUCAAACUCCAUACGACUCUGUGCUAAGAUCUUCAUAUUGCUGAACCUAGCAGAUAUUAAUAUUUGCCAUACAAGGGUCUAAGCCUGGGCCGUAUGAGGUCAUGACGUUCACUUGUAACAUAUAUUUAAGCUUUGCUUUAAAGAAGGCUGGACACAUUUGCACCACACACUUGCAUGACACACUGAUACACACUUAAACUAAGACACACUAAUUCACACCCUCUUUGAAAGACAACACUGACAUAUAGACUAGGAGAACAGCUGAAGCCAGAAGUCAAACGUCAUUUCCUGUUUCUUCCGGCAUCACUUUGGAAAAUCUCAGAAGACAACAUGCCUGAGGCUGCACACAUCCUUUCAUAAGCUUGCUACAAUACUAUCGAUCCAAUUCCAGAUAUUUUCAUCUACGCUAAACUGAACUUUAUACUAUUUUUCAUUGUGUUUAUGAUGCCACCUGUGUGACAAUAAACUCACACGUUAUUUUCAAAUCAACCUGACUAUGAAUGAUCUUCAUUCAGAUACGCCCUUGAAGCUAUAAGAAUAUUAGUUAUUAAUUUACAUUCUUACAGUGGCGAGCCAAAGAAAGUACUGUCUUAUCUCUAUUUUUACGGAAAUCUCGACCCUUGAUGAGGGGGGGAGAGAUUAGCGCAGUCUUUGCGAAUAUUCAAGUCUCGAGAAAAAAGACGGUUCAGAACCUAUCAAGCAAGAGGCGUUUGUGUCGCGUCAGAUGUGGACAACAGUCCAGUAACAGACGGUUGAUGACGAGAAAUCCUUCUAAUAACGAUAUGGCAUCUAAAAUCAAACAAAUAUGGAGGAUAACAAGCUUCUAUAAAGAGCAAAGAGAAAUUUGAAGU